AGCUACACGGGACCAGACAGCUGAACAAUGGUGGAAUCAGCAUUGCAGUGACGGCCAGCCAGACUUGGAGCUCUUCUCUAACUUUCUCCUGUGAUAAAGAAAACCAUUAGCUGCUGUCAGAACCAGAAGGAGGGAGAUCAUUUUUAUUGAAAUAAGAAGGAAACGAUAGUGUCAGCCACUGAGUCCAAGAGAUAAAAAAUUACAUCUAAUAAACAUGAUUUUAUACAGUCUAAAGACCUGAAUGCAGAACGAGGGGAUUUUAGGCUUUCAGGAACACUGGGCUCAUUUUCUCUGAAGACGCAGAGUAGACGAAGAAAGAAAAAAUAGGAAAAUGAGGUUGCAUGACCUUACACCCAAUAAACAGGUGAGGCCAUUGAAGAGCACAGCAGGCAACCACUCACAGGCUCUUGUGGAGGAAGAUUACAGGGAAGAAUACAGUGUCUUGUGCUCAGUCCAGGGACAAACCGGUUGUGAAUGUAGCUUGGAAUUAAAUGGGACCACUGCUGCCACCAGGAAAGGAUGGGAUCUUCCCCGGCACUUAAGGCUGUGCGGGGCACCUAUCGACCUCUCUACGUUCUAAGGAAAAACCCACCAGGACGCUUAAUCUGCUCGAAGCCUCGCACACCUUUUUUUUUUUUUUCUUAAGAUUUAUUUUUACUUUUGACAUACAGCAAUUGGGCAGGAGAUUGAGAAAGAAAUCCAGGAUGACAUUGAAAUCAUACUUUUCAUUUCCGUGCGCUAAGGCGGGAAUUCAGUUAAUUGCAAUGUGCCGCCGUAAUGUUCUGGGCUGUGCACAUAACUGCUUAGUAUGGCGGGCAGGCAUUAUCCUGCGCACUGCUAAGGAAUAUUAUGAUUACUGGGAACCUUUUUACUGUAUAUGGUUCUUUAUAUCACCACUGCAUAGACAUAGCUGUAAUGGGUACAGGGUGUGCAGUGCACUAAUAUAAUUAUACUUACCUCUCCGGAGUCUAACGUUAGCUGGCAUUGCAGAACAGCAGAAAUCACCAGGAAAACUGAGUGGUAUGCAUGGGCAUUCACAGUAUAGUAUUCACCAGGAACAUAGCAUGGGCACCCAGAGACCUGCACUUGCGCUGACGACUCUACUAUGCUGCCAGAGAGGAGGGAGCCUGUACGGAGCAGGUACUUAGGCCCUCUUCUCUCUUAAACCGCCCCUGCCUCACUGUAUUUUGGCAUUUCCAUGAAAAUGGCCACAUAGUACUUAGAGGCAGAAAAAGAUCCUCUUGGACCUAAGAUAUAUCCCCACCUACUUUUCUCUGGUAAAUCCCCAUGUAAAACAGGUUAGCCUCAAAUGUUCACAACAGGUCAUGUUUUCAGGAUUUCUGUCUGUGGAAGCAGGUGGGAUAAUUGCUGCCUCAGCUAACCUGUGCAUGAUUACAGAAACCCAUGAAGCAUGACUUGGUGGUACGUAGGGACUGAAGCUGAGUAUUAGUGAGUGGCACUGGCAGCUGUGGCCCAAAGCCGGAUUAAGGGGGGGGGGGGUCACAGGGGGUAAGUUACCC